rnacentral:rRNA from 1 species
GAUGAACGCUGGCGGCGUGCCUAACACAUGCAAGUCGAACGGAAAGGCCCUGCUUUUGUGCGGUGCUCGAUUGGCGAACGCGUGUGUAUCACGUGUGUAUCCUGCCCUUGUCUUUCGGAUAACAUCACGUAACUGGGGCUAAUAUAGGAUAGGAUCUCCUGCUGCAUGGUGGGGAUUGGAAAGUUUCGGCGGUUGGGGAUGGACUGGCGGCUUACCAGCUUGCUGGUGGGGUAGUGGCUUACCAAGCCUGUGACGGGUAGCCGGCCUGAGAGGGUGAACGGGGACAAUAGGACUGAGAGACGGACCAGACGCCAACGGGAGGCAGCAGGGGGGAAUAUUGCAGAAUGGGCGGGAGCCUGAGACGGCAACCCCGCGUGCGGGAUGACGGCCUUCGGGGUGUGAACAGCUGUCGCCGGAGACGAAGCGGGAGUGACGGUAAUGGAUAAAGAAGCACCGGCUAACUACGUG